AAAUCUAAGUGUUACCGAGCCCACCCCAGUCUCAGCACUGCUCUCUCAGCCUGCUGUCAUGGAUCAGGUAACACUGUCAGCUACUACUCCAGCACCAUGCCUGUCUGCCUCCCACCAUGAUGAUCACAGACUCGCUCUCCCAAACUUAUGCUGUUAAUAUUGUAAGUAGAGGGGCCCAAGCCGAGGGCAUCAAGGCUAUCACCCUGACUCCUCCAUCUCCAAGGCCACAGGACCAUCUCUUCUCACUCUUGCGACAUCUUCCCUCCCAGAAUACAUCACUUGGAUAAAAUCUAGAAGUAGACAGGAUGAAUUGAAUACUUCUUUUAAAGACCAUGGAUGCAUAUUCUUAAAUUAUUAACAGAAAGAACUCAUGAAAAACUGACAUCGCUUUGGAAAUAUUAAUGAGCUUUAUAAACAUCUAUGCUAAAGUCUUCAAGGGGGAAGAGUUGCUGCUGCUGCACAUUCUACAGAAGAGAUAUUA